rnacentral:lncRNA from 7 species
AGGAUAAUGUGCUCUCGGGUGGCGCGGACCUGUUCAUGUAGUGGAGGACUCCGUGGGAACGGUUGACAUAUGCAAGGGUUAAGUGCUACAUAUGUCGUGUGGUUAGAGAUCCCCAGCUGGGUAUAAUCGGUUCGAAUCGUCGUUGCUCCUCGGUUAUGGAGACUCAUCCCGGUGACCAUCAUCGUAGUUAGCAAGUGAAAUAUGAGAAUGAAUAAAAUGGAGCUAGUAUAGGCCAAGUGCUUGAACUAGAUCAGGCAAAUAUAGAUUCAGGUAAUAACCUAACUAGUGAAAUAAAACUUAGCUUAAGGAUCAACUGGUAGCAAGCUUUUCUGCAAAAAAGGAGUCUUUGAUCAUUGAUAAACUUUACCUUGACUCCCAAUCAGCUAGCAUACCCUUGAGAGUCUUUUCUUUAGUCGGGUAAGUCUUGCUGAGUAAUUGCGUACUCAGGGUUUUAUCCCCUGUUGUUUUUGGAGGAGAAGUUUUAUUCCCUUAUCUUUUGGUUAGUUACUUCAUGUGGAGGCCUUGAAGCUUAGAAUGUUUAUGUGUAUCUCUUAUGGAAAGGCUUCACCCUUCCUAUUAUUGUAAUAAAUUAUGCACUUUGGGUACUAUCAGGACUUGUAAUAAAUACAUCUCUUUCUACCU